rnacentral:lncRNA from 1 species
AGAAAGAAAAAGCUGAAUUGCAAACAGCUGUGUUGUUUCCUCCUAAAUUUCGACUCUCGUGUCUUUUUCGAAAGGUACCCAAUUAUAUUGGCCACUUUGUAGAUCCAUUUCAUUUUCUUCUUCUAUGUUUUAACAUAUACUUUUAUUUUUUAUGACAUAGUUAUACUCUGACAGAUUCGCACUUUAGUGUGUUAUAUUCACCUCUUAGCUUAUUUUGGUAAAAAAAAAAAAAAACACACUCCCAAGUUAAAUCUUUUAAAAAAAAAAAAUUCAAUAGAUAUACAAAUUAAAAAAAAAUAAUGUAAAAUUAUUAUAGUAAAUUAGUUUUGGGAUUAAAGCUUAGAGCGAUCUAAUGUGUUAGUGUAACUUGGGGCGUGAGACCUAUUUCGAG